rnacentral:rRNA from 1 species
AGAGUUUGAUCCUGGCUCAGGAUGAACGCUGGCGGCGUGCUUAACACAUGCAAGUCGAACGAACCUUCGGGUUAGUGGCGGACGGGUGAGUAACGCGUGAGAAUCUGCCCUCAGGAGGGGGAUAACAGUUGGAAACGACUGCUAAUACCCCAUAUGCCGAGAGGUAAAAUGAAUUUUGCCUGGGGAUGAGCUCGCGUCUGAUUAGCUUGUUGGUGGGGUAAAGGCCUACCAAGGCUUCGAUCAGUAGCUGGUCUGAGAGGACGAUCAGCCACACUGGGACUGAGACACGGCCCAGACUCCUACGGGAGGCAGCAGUGGGGAAUUUUCCGCAAUGGGCGCAAGCCUGACGGAGCAACGCCGCGUGAGGGAUGGAGGCCUUUGGGCUGUAAACCUCUUUUCUCAAGGAAGAAGAUCUGACGGUACUUGAGGAAUAAGCCACGGCUAAUUCCGUGCCAGCAGCCGCGGUAAUACGGGAGUGGCAAGCGUUAUCCGGAAUUAUUGGGCGUAAAGCGUCCGCAGGCGGCCGUUUAAGUCUGUUGUUAAAUCGUGGAGCUCAACUCCAUCACGGCAAUGGAAACUGUUCGGCUUGAGUAUGGUAGGGGCAGAGGGAAUUUCCGGUGUAGCGGUGAAAUGCGUAGAUAUCGGGAAGAACACCAGUGGCAAAAGCGCUCUGCUGGGCCAUUACUGACGCUCAUGGACGAAAGCCAGGGGAGC